CACGUAAGGGGCGAGCGUUGUUCGGAAUUAUUGGGCGUAAAGGGCACGCAGGCGGUCGUGCAAGUCUGAUGUGAAAUCCCCGGGCUCAACUCGGGAGACGCGUUGGAAACUGCAUGGCUAGAGUAUUGGAGGGGGAGUCGGAAUUCCUAGUGUAGGGGUGAAAUCUGUUGAUAUUAGGAAGAACACCGGUGGCGAAGGCGGACUCCUGGCUGGAUACUGACGCUGAGGUGCGAAAGCAUAGGGAGCAAACAGG
rnacentral:rRNA from 1 species